AUUGUAGUCUGNAACCCGACUACAUGAAGCCGGAAUCGCUAGUAAUCGCGGAUCAGAAUGCCGCGGUGAAUACGUUCCCGGGUCUUGUACACACCGCCCGUCACACCAUGGGAGCCGGUAAUGCCCGAAGUCUGUGGCCCAACCGAGAGGGGGAGCAGCCGAAGGCAGGAAACCCGGUGACUGGGGUGAAGUCGUAACAAGGUACC
rnacentral:rRNA from 1 species